GACUGAGAUGUGGUCCCGCGUUGUCAUCCCUUUUCUCCUCUCCUCAUACCGAAUGCCGAUUCCGAUGCCGCCACGCUCGGAGCAGGUUGUUGAGAUUUCCCCAAACCCGUAACAACCUGGGCGGCUUGCUGGGACCGACUGCUCCUCUGCGCGGAUCUAUUUAGCCGAGCCCUCAUCCAUGUUGCGCUGGCGUGAUAGCCGUGAGGGAAUACACGACCGUGUGAGCUGUGCCAUAGCCCUUGUGUGUCCACCAUUGUCGUGACCUUGUUAUCAAGUCGAGAAGCGCUGCCAGUUCGCAAGUGAGAAUGUGGCAACCUCGCUGCGCAGGACAAGCGACCAAGGGCGGGGAGUUUUCACUGGAGGAAGACCAUCGUUGCGGCUUCACUGCUCGCAUGGCCAGGGGCACUUCUUCUCCAAUCCACGGUCAAGAAUUGGUACCGCAGGAGGAGGCGCAUGCCGGAUGCUGUGAUGAGUUCGUGAGUGGUCUAGGCCGUCGUCUCCCAGUCAACUUUGGUUGCUGGAUCAUUGUCUUCGUAUGAUGUAAUUAUUUAACUAUUUUGUAUAGAACUCCGUUAUAUAUUAUAGAUGUGACAUUCUUUUUUGUACCAUGAAUCAUCAUAUGUGUGAGACUUGUUCCUAGCACACUUGGUGAUUAUUUCGCGCCCAGGUUUUGGUCCCUAAAACCCAGGUGUGACAUUAAUUCUAGAUUAUAGGACAACCCACUAGGGUGUAGUAUAUUUGAGGCACUUGAGAGUGUGCCCUAUAUGUUUUCGACAAAAUUUUACAAAAUGAGGCACCGUUGAUAUA